rnacentral:rRNA from 1 species
AGCAGGCGCGUAAAUUCCCCGAAUCCUGACACAGGGAGGUAGUGACAAGAAAUAACGAUACAGGGCUACAUCUAGUCUUGUAAUUGGAAUGAGUACAAUUUACAUCUCUUAACGAUGAUCAAUUGGAGGGCAAGUCUGGUGCCAGCAGCCGCGGUAAUUCCAGCUCCAAUAGCGUAUAUUAAAGUUGUUGCAGUUAAAACGCUCGUAGUCGGGUUUCGGGUCGGGCCGAGCGGUCUGCCGAUGGGUAUGCACUGUUUGGCGCGGCCUUCUUUCCGGAGACCGCGGCUACUCUUAACUGAGCGGGCGUGGGAGACGGAUCGUUUACUUUGAAAAAAUCAGAGUGUUUCAAGCAGGCAGCUCGCUCUUGCAUGGUACAGCAUGGGAUGAUAGAAUAGGACUCCGGUGCUAUUUUGUUGGUUUCGAACACCAGGAGUAAUGAUUAACAGGGACAGUCAGGGGCACUCGUAUUCCGUCGAGAGAGGUGAAAUUCUCAGACCAAUGGAAGACAAACCACUGCGAAAGCAUUUGCCAGGGAUGUUUUCACUGAUCAAGAACGAAAGUUAGGGGAUCGAAGACGAUCAGAUACCGUCGUAGUCUUAACCAUAAGCCAUGCCGACUAGGGAUUGGAGGGUGUUCGUUUCGACCUCUUCAGCACCUUACGGGAAACUAAAGUCUUUGGGUUCCGGGGGGAGUAUGGUCGCAGGGCUGAAACUUAAAGGAAUUGACGGAAGGGCACCACCAGGAGUGGAGCCUGCGGCUUAAUUUGACUCAACACGGGAAACUUACCAGGUCCAGACAUUGUUAGGAUUGACAGAUUGAGAGCUCUUUCUUGAUUCGAUGGGUGGUGGUGCAUGGCCGUUCUUAGUUGGUGGAGUGAUUUGUCUGGUUAAUUCCGAUAACGAACGAGACCGUAGCCUGCUAAAUAGUCCCGCGAACUUCUUGUUGGCGGCCGGCUUCUUAAAGGGACAACUUGUGACCAACAAGUGGAAGUUUGCGGCAAUAACAGGUCUGUGAUGCCCUUAGGUGCUCUGGGCCGCACGCGCGUUACACUGAAGCACUCAACGAGUCCACCUCGACCGACAGGUCUGGGAAACCUUUUGAAAUUGCUUCGUGAUGGGGGUAGAUUAUUGCAACUAUUAAUCUUCAACGAGGAAUUCCUAGUAAGCGCAUGUCAUCAGCGUGCGUUGA